ACCACAAGCUGACCCUUUAAACACAUUAAUGCCAAAUAUGACAUCACCCAUUUGCCAACGUCAACACCUGAUAAUGGCUGACCGUUUAUGAAUCUGCUGUGUUGUGAUGGUGAAAUUGUGGAUUAAUUAUAAAAAAAUAAAUGUAAAUACUUUUUUUAAUUAAAAAUAACAAGUCGUUCAAAUGCAAUGCAUUGAAGUCUUCCAGAUUUUGGAAUAGUAGAUUUGCCCAGCACUACAGAAAGUGCACUGUGUAGAGAGCAGUGAAGGAGUUCAGUCACAGUCUAGGGGUCUUGAUCAGUGCUGCUCACUCCUGGUCGUCCUACCACCCCGUCUAGAAAACCCAGUUUUCUACAUCUCUAAUCCCUGCUUGGUUAACUCAGUCAGGUGCUUCCACAUUCUGAUUGAAUAAACACACCUGGUUCAGGUAAAAGGUAGCAUGAUUCGGUUCAUUUAGAAAUGAAGGACUCAAUGUGUUGCUGAGAGCUUCAAGACUUACCAGAUAACAGCUGUAACAGAAGCUCACUUCAACAGCAUAUAAACAGGUCAACUUCGGUACUAUAUGUGUAUUACACAGCAGAUGUUAGAAGGAGCCACAAAGUUAAAUUGUUGCCACAAUCAAAUAAGGGAAAAAUAAUUACAAUUUUGCCCCUCUCACGAUGCCGUUGUGGAAAAAGGGCUCAUCAAAAUCUGGUUUUGGUCCUUCUUUGCCAAAUUCUAGUUGUUAAGCUAUAAAGACAGGAACUGUUAAAUAACAAAUUUCUUGUUUUAUGGUAAUUGCACAUCAUGUUCUUAUUGUGAAAGGGCCGGUUGGAUGGGAUGGGUCGUUGUUGUGUUGAUGAUGGUGGAAUGAAUAAAGAAAACGUUACGCUGCGAAGUGAAUUUCAAUUUUGUUUAACAUUGGUAGCAGGGGAUGAUUAGCAACUACAGAGUCCUACAAACCUUUGACGAAGGAAAACCGUACAAAAGUUGGAAAAAAUAAGUUGGACCCGAGUUACAGACCUUGAAAAGAAGAAGCAAGCACUCUCCGUUCCUUUGGCGCUUUCUUCUGGGCAAGCGAGAGACGUGGCGAUAGAAAUAUCAAAGGAGGAUUUGCUCAAGGACACAGGACACGUCACUAAUAAAGCUAGAUGAUCGGUUUCUCAAAGAACAAAGACCGGACCUACUCAAGUUUGGAUAACGAGAGACAGUAAUGUAUCCGUGACGGAUUAGAUAAUUGAUUUUGAACAGCGGUAUACUCAAAUGUGUACAUACAAGAGGGAUCUUCCGGAUGCAGUAUGAGCAUUUUGUUAUGUGUGAAUAGAUUUAGUGUCUCUUGGAUGCUGUGCUUGCUGAGUACAGCAAGACUCAUCUCUGUCAGCAAAAGAAAAAGAUCUGCUCACGCCCAAGAUUGGACAAAUUCUCUGGGUUGCAAGGCAGAGUCGACCAAAAGUCUUGUUUGAUGCUUUAAAUCCAUGAAACGAAUAGAACGGUGUGCAAACUGAAAUCCAGUGAGGUGGCUCUGAACUUUGAGCUUCUAGGCAGGGACUCAGCCCUCAAGAUGAGGGUGUUCAGUGAUGCCUCAUUUGGCAAUCUUUCAGAUGGAGCCACUCAAGAAGGAAACCUGAUAGUUCUAAUGGGAGAACGUGGAAAGUUUUCACCGCUCCCCCUCAAAGAGAGUGAACAGAAUUGUGAGGAGCACACCUGCUGGAGAAACACUGGCAAUGUCUGAUGGAACUGACAAUGCACCGUUUGCAGCAACACUGUUCUCUGAACCAACGACUGAACACGCUCCACCCAUAAUCUGUGUCACAGAUUCACUGGCUGACGCACUGAAGUCUGUCUGGAAAAAAGUGCCAACUCAUCCAAGCAGAGUUGAGCGAGUGUUGUGGUACAACGUGAAAGAACAACUUGCAGACUGCUUUACCAAAAGGUGCAUCUGCAUGCUAGUUACCUGAAGCCCCGAGUGAAGGACAAGCGGAACUUAGUUCAUGUUAAAUGCAGCAACAGCAAAUUCAGUGUUGU